CCGCCGCUGCCAUGUUUGCGGGGCGGGGGCACGGGCAGGGGCGGCUGCCCGUCAUCACCGCGGCAACCGCACCGGGCCCGCCGGCGGAACCCGCGCCCUGGCCCCGCAGCCUCCCGCAGGCACGGCAGGGGUCCCGGGGAUAAGGACCGUCCUAGAUCCGGCGGGUGUUGUGGAGGGUGCGGAUGGCACUGCCCGAGCAGCGGGGGCCGCAGGGUGUUCGUCAGAGCAACGCCGGGCACUUUGAGGUUUUCUCCUUAGAUCUUGAACUUUGGUGUGAAAUCCUGGCUUUACUUCUGUCACUGAAAAUCAGUCCAGUUGACUUCAGAGAGAUUCAGAAACUGACAUCCGCUGACUGGAUCUGCCUAGGGUGAAGAAGAACACACAACACUUAAAUACAAAGCUUCUUCCUCUAAGUAA